rnacentral:rRNA from 1 species
UACAGAGGGGGCAAGCGUUGUUCGGAAUCACUGGGCUUAAAGGGCGCGUAGGCGGGCUGUCAAGUCUGGGGUGAAAUCCCGCGGCUCAACCGUGGAACUGCCUUAGAUACUGACGGCCUCGAGGGAGGUAGGGGCAUGCGGAACUAAUGGUGGAGCGGUGAAAUGCGUUGAUAUCAUUAGGAACUCCGGUGGCGAAGGCGGCUCGCUGGAUCUUUUCUGACGCUGAGGCGCGAAAGCUAGGGGAGCAAACGGG